rnacentral:rRNA from 1 species
CAGUAGCCGCGGUAAUACGUAGGGUGCGAGCGUUAAUCGGAAUGACUGGGCGUAAAGGGCGCGUAGGCGGUGGCCAAAGUCAGGCGUGAAAUUCCUGGGCUCAACCUGGGGGCUGCGCUUGAUACUUGGUUGCUUGAGUGGGGAAGAGGGUCGUGGAAUUCCCAGUGUAGAGGUGAAAUUCGUAGAUAUUGGGAAGAACACCGGUGGCGAAGGCGGCGACCUGGUCCUUGACUGACGCUGAGGCGCGAAAGCGUGGGGAGCAAACAGGAUUAGAGACCCCUGUAGUCCCUGUCUCUUAUAA